rnacentral:rRNA from 1 species
GAUGAACGCUGACAGAAUGCUUAACACAUGCAAGUCAACUUGAACUUCGGUUUGGGUGGCGGACGGGUGAGUAACGCGUAAAGAACUUGCCUCACAGUUAGGGACAACAUUUGGAAACGAAUGCUAAUACCUGAUAUUAUGAUUUUAGGGCAUCCUAGAAUUAUGACAGCUAUAUGCGCUGUGAGAGAGCUUUGCGUCCCAUUAGCUAGUUGGAGAGGUAACGGCUCACCAAGGCGAUGAUGGGUAGCCGGCCUGAGAGGGUGAACGGCCACAAGGGGACUGAGACACGGCCCUUACUCCUACGGGAGGCAGCAGUGGGGAAUAUUGGACAAUGGACCAAGAGUCUGAUCCAGCAAUUCUGUGUGCACGAUGAAGUUUUUCGGAAUGUAAAGUGCUUUCAGUUGGGAAGAAAAAAAUGACGAUACCAACAGAAGAAGUGACGGCUAAAUACGUG